UGCGGGAUGGAGCAGUGGUAGCUCGUCGGGCUCAUAACCCGAAGGUCACAGGUUCGAGUCCUGUUCCCGCUACAA
rnacentral:tRNA from 1 species